UUUAAUUUUAUUAAAAGUGACGGGCGAUAUGUGCAUGUCAAAUUUCUUUUUCAUUGCAAAAUUUUAUUAUUGUUCUUACUUUUAAAUCCUUUUUGAUUUAAUUCUCUUUUUAAUCUGGUUUUAUUUGUAAAGCAUUCCACAAAUUCUUUUAUAUUAUCUUUGUCUUGAUUUGUUUUUUAACUUUUUUAGUUUUUAAGAAAUUUUAUUUCUUCUUUUUUCUUUUAAACAAUGAUAUAAAAAAUAAAAAUUGAAGUUGAGUUUAUCGUGGGUUAUCGAUUAUACUGCAGAAUUCUCUAUUUAGAUUUAACACCGCCAUCUUAGUUAGAUUUUUUUUAUUUAAAUACUAUCUAUUUCUAUUUUAAAA
rnacentral:rRNA from 1 species